rnacentral:rRNA from 1 species
AGCGAACGCUGGCGGCAGGCCUAACACAUGCAAGUCGAACGAACUCUUCGGAGUUAGUGGCGGACGGGUGAGUAACACGUGGGAACGUGCCUUUAGGUUCGGAAUAACUCAGGGAAACUUGUGCUAAUACCGAAUGUGCCCUUCGGGGGAAAGAUUUAUCGCCUUUAGAGCGGCCCGCGUCUGAUUAGCUAGUUGGUGAGGUAAAGGCUCACCAAGGCGACGAUCAGUAGCUGGUCUGAGAGGAUGAUCAGCCACAUUGGGACUGAGACACGGCCCAAACUCCUACGGGAGGCAGCAGUGGGGAAUCUUGCGCAAUGGGCGAAAGCCUGACGCAGCCAUGCCGCGUGAAUGAUGAAGGUCUUAGGAUUGUAAAAUUCUUUCACCGGGGACGAUAAUGACGGUACCCGGAGAAGAAGCCCCGGCUAACUUCUUG